CCAAGCUCUUUGGAGGAGUCCAAGCGUGCCCAGCCCAGAGGGAGGUUCAGAGGCACUGACCGUCUUCUGUUUGGGAGGAGAAGCUCACUCUUGGAGCCACAGCCAGCACUAGGUCAGGACCCAGGCCCCGGCCCAGGAGUGGGGCAAUACCCAGCGUCUACCCCAGAUGGCACCCUGCUGUGAACUGGGCGCCCUCAGCCCCUGCCUUGAGGAAGGGGCAAUACCACCAGCGUGUCUUUUAUCAGGGAAGAUAUUGCUGCAGUUUGGCCGCUGCAACUUAAGAGAAAAGCUAAGGGGUCCCCCAGCAUCCCUUGGGGUGCCACUGCAAAUACUGGCUGGGCCUGGAGAUGACCUGGGUCCCAUUCACUUCCUAGGGUGAAGGAGGUCAUCAUUACCACCCCUGCUUUCAGCCAUUUCUUCAUUCAUUCAAUCAACAAACUGGCUGAGCUGCAACCCUGAGCCGGGGAAUUCAGCCACUCCAGACACAGCCCCUGCCCUCCGGGAAGUCUCGGGAGACCUGGCUAGUCUGGCUGGGAGAAGUCACACGUUGAUUGUCUUGGAAGUGAGAUGGCAUUUACACAAUGGAGGCUGCACUGCCAGCAGGCAAAAAUAACCAGUUAAUUCAGUGGCUUAAAGAAACCAAACCUACCCACAACGCUUGACCUCCCAUUGAUCCAUCUGCGACACCGGCAGUGGCUACCAUUUAUUGAGUGCUGAUGGUGUCACCUGGGAUUGACUUAGUGGUCUCUGGCGCUAGUUCCGAAGUUGAUUCUGUCUGGAGAGCUUAAUGCAGUGUUCAGACCUCAGGGUCCGAACCUGAGGGUCACCCAAAGAUGAGUGGGACAUAGCUGUGUGACCUCGGCUGAGUGCUUUCACCUCUCCAACCUCAGUUUCCUCUUCUGCAAAAUGGGGUGGCUUCAUGGCACCUUCACGUGGUGUGAUUGCGAGGAAUGAAGGGAUCGAUGCCUUGCAAGUAGAGGAGAAGGGGCCGGAUACAUCUUAGUUGUUAUGUUAUUUAAUCAUCUUGGCAACCCCGGGAGGGAGGAACCACUAUCAUUUUAUUUUCCAUUUUGCAGUUGAGGACAAUGAUGAUUCCAGCACAGACAGGGCCCCUGACGGGGCAGUAGGAAAGGAGAAUUGCUUUGGAAGGAGCAUAGGCUGGACUGCCAGCACUCAUAGGAGGCUUCGUGUGUGCCCAGGACUGCGAGAAUUAAAUACAGGACACCCAGUUCAGUUUGAAUUUCAGAUAAACUAUGAAUAAUGAUUAGUGUAAGUAUAUCUCAAUUUAACUGGAUAGCUUGUAUUUUUCUUUGCGAAAUCUGAUAACCCUAGAUGUGCCAGGGACUGUGAUGCUGGCAUUUUGGGCAUGAAGGGCAGAGCCCACUGUCAGGCACAGGCAGAGAAGGUCACAACUCCCUGAUUCUACCCAGGAGAAAUGGGCAGAGCCAAGGUGUUAAUGGGCUGAGGAGGGAGGGCUCACUGCUGGGAGUGGGAGUGGGGAGGGGGCACCGCGAUUGGGCAGGCCUGAGUCCCUGGGAAGAAUGCCACAAGUCAGAGGCAAAAAAAAAAAGGUUUUGUUCACUCAUUGAACAAACAUUCUGCUCCUAUUCAGUGUGAAGCUCUGUGCUGGGUAUGGGGCACAGGGCUGGGAAGAAAACCAACUCCCUGACCUCGUGUGACAUUGUGGGGGACAAAGGGACUAAAGACACACACACACAUGCAAACUCAUAGCUCAAUGAGGUCAGGAGGUCAUUUCAGACAUGGUGAUAACAGGCCAAAGGCCAGAGUUGGGGUGAGAUCAAGGAAGCCCUCCCUGAGGAGGUGGCAUCUCAUUCCACCUGCAGUUACCAACCACCCACAGGUGCAGCCCCAGCCAUACUGAGGCUCACAGGUGAGGCUGACAUCACAUGUGUAAAAAGAUGAGUCCAGGUGAUAAUUUCAGAGAGGGACGAGACCUGGGAAGAAUAUAAAAGGAGAGGGUUUGGAGGCGACUUGAGCCCAAAGGGUUGGGCCUCCUCUCUGGGGAGAUGUGGGCUGGGCAUGUAGGGGACAGUAGAGAGGGGAUGCCAGGCCAGUGGGGGCAUCAGGAACUGGGAGACUCUCAUGGUCCCAGCAGGUUUGGAGUUUGGGACACAUUUCUCAGCCUGGCUGUGGCCAUGGGGUUGUGAAAUGGGUGUGUGAAGCAAAUGGAUUGUGAAAUGGGUGACUGCAGAGACAGGCCUUUCUGGGACUCCAGACAGCG
rnacentral:lncRNA from 1 species